CCUACGGGAGGCAGCAGUGAGGAAUAUUGGUCAAUGGGCGAGAGCCUGAACCAGCCAAGUCGCGUGAGGGAGUACUGCCCUAUGGGUUGUAAACCUCUUUUGUCGGGGAGCAAAAGCCGGACGUGUCCGGCUGUGAGAGUACCCGAAGAAAAAGCAUCGGCUAACUCCGUGCCAGCAGCCGCGGUAAUACGGAGGAUGCGAGCGUUAUCCGGAUUUAUUGGGGUUAAAGGGUGCGCAGGCGGAUUUUUAAGUCAGCGGUCAAAUCGUGGGGCUCAACCCCAUCCAGCCGUUGAAACUGGGGAUCUAGAGUGUGCGAGAGGUAUGCGGAAUGCGUGGUGUAGCGGUGAAAUGCAUAGAUAUCACGCAGAACCCCGAUUGCGAAGGCAGCAUACCGGUGCACAACUGGCGCUCAGGCACGAAAGCGUGGGUAUCGAACAGGAUUAGAUACCCUGGUAGUC
rnacentral:rRNA from 1 species